GAAGAAGAAGAAGAAGAAGAAGAAGAAGAAGAAGAAGAAGAAGAAGAAGAAGAAGAAGAAGAAGAAGAAGAAGAAGAAGAAGAAAAAGAAGAAGAAAAGAAAAAUAUAUAACCUGUUCUGCAUUUCCAUUCAUUCCUACUUAAUUUUCUUAUUCUCAUAUUUUCCCUGUUUUUCUUUGCUUAUCAACACUAUCCUCACUUCUUAGGUUAAGUACCCCUUUGACCAAUGUUUUUAGUUUGGUUUUCUUUCUUGCUUAGUGAUAUAGACACUGCACACAGUGAAUUUUUCUAAGUACUGUUGUGAUUAAGAUUUUACAAAUGCAGUGUUUAGUUUUCUUUCUAGGCAUUUCCCUAACUCCUAUUUUAAUUAAUUUUUGAUUAAUAAAUGUUUAUUGAUGGCUAGGGAGAUGGCUCACAGGCUGGGAGCACUUAUUGCUCUUCCAGAUCACACCCACAUCAGAUAGCUCACGACUACCUGUAACUCCCAUUCUUGUAGAUCCAGUGCCCUCUUCCAGCUUCCUCAGGCAUAUCUACACAAAUGGCAUAAACUUACACAGACAUAUACACACAUACACAUAAUAAAAAUAAAUAAAGUAGUAAAUAUUUAAUAGCUAUUUGCAAGCCAUUUUAUUUUAAUUUCCAAUAUGAAAGUUUUAUCUUCCUGAGUUCAUAGUCAUGCUGAGUUCAGAUAACAACAUGGAUUAGUCUUCUUAAUGUGAGAUCGGGACAAUUUGAAGUAUGUCCUAAAGUCUUGAGCUGGAUAUAGUGGACGUAUUGUCAUGUGUUAUCGGUUUUUACCUCUGAGACUGGAGAAGCCACACUGAGCGAUUUAAUUCCUUUACUACUCUGGUUUUAACUAGCAGCAGUUGUUUCCCAGCCUCCUCCAGAAGACAUUUGGCAGUGUCUGUGACUGCUUGUCACAACUGGGGCUGGGGCCACAUAUAAAUGGAAUGAGGAGGCAGAGGCAAAAGUAUUGCUAAAUACCUUCCAGUUAUCAGUUCUUACAACAAUUACCCAGCCCCAAAUGCCAGUCAGGCAGAGGCUGUAACGCUUUGCUAACACAAGCUCUUAAUGGAUGUUAAAAUGCACUCAUUGCCGUGCCGUGGUUUCAGCUAAUUGUGUGUAAGUGAACGUCGGUCCACUGAGGCUCAUUGCCACCGUGCUUAAUGUAAACAUCCCACCCUUCUGGAAGAGAAUAAUAUCAGUGUAUAGCACAAAGGAACACACAAAGUGAAAGGAAGACAAUUCCUUUUCUGCAAAAAAGGUGUGCUAUGACCUAAAUCUGGCUAUUGAGUAGCACACUCAACCUAUAUAGUCUUUUUUUUUUAAUCACUGAUGUAGGAGGUGACUUCAUCUCAUCCCUUUGAUGGGAGCACAAUUUCACAUCUGAGGGGAUUGGUUAAUCAGGUCACAGGGGAUAGAGGAAGUUCAAGAAAAAUGAGCACUUGUCAGACUAAACAACUUUGACAAAAGAAACAAGCAAACAAACAAAAGAAAACUAACAUCCCUUAUUGUUCAUCCAUGCCUCUUCGUGCCUUCUAUCUUUUCUCAGGUUAUUAAACUAAUGGUGGGUGUGGUGGUUUGAAUAGCUACAGUUCCCAUAGACUCCUGUGUUUGAGUGCUGGCCCUUAGGGAGUGGGGCUUCUCUGAGGCACAGCUUUGUUGGAGUGGGUGUGGUCUUGUCGGAGGGAGUGUGUCACUGUGCAGGUGGGUUUUGAGGUCUCAUAUACGCUGAAGCCAUGCAUGCCCAGUGUGAUAGACAGUUGCUUCUGCUGCCUGCAGAUCAAGAUGUAGAACUCUCAGCUCCUUCUCCAGCACCAUGUCCACCUGCAUGCCACCAUGAAGACAGUGAACUAAACUUCUGAAACUGUAAGCCAGCCCUGCCCAAUUAAAUGUUUUCCUUUGUAA